GUCCCAAGUGUCACUCGAACCGGC
rnacentral:siRNA from 1 species